rnacentral:rRNA from 1 species
GGUGCAUGGUUGUCGUCAGCUCGUGUCGUGAGAUGUUGGGUUAAGUCGGCGCAACGAGCGCAACCCUCGUUCUAUGUUGUCAGCACGUGAUGGUGGGGACUCAUAGGAGACUGCCGGGGUCAACUCGGAGGAAGGUGGGGGUGAGGUCAAAUCAUCAUGCGCCUUAUGUCUUGGGGCUUCACGCAUGCUACAAUGGCCGGUACAAAGGGCUGCGAUACCGCGAGGUUGAGCGAAUCCCAAAAAACCGGUCUCAGUUCGGAUUGGUGUCUGCAACUCGACCCCAUGAAGUUGGAGUCGUUGGUAAUCGCAGAUCAGCAACCUCUGCGGUGAAUACGUUCCUCGGGCCUUGUACACACCGCCCGUCAAGUCACGAAAGUCGGUAACACCCGAAGCCGGUGGCCCAACCCUUGUGGAGGGAGCCGUCGAAGGUGGGACUGGCUGAUUGGGACU